UACGUAGGUGGCAAGCGUUGUCCGGAGUUAUUGGGCGUAAAGCGCGCGCAGGCGGUCCUUUAAGUCUGAUGUGAAAGCCCACGGCUCAACCGUGGAGGGUCAUUGGAAACUGGGGGACUUGAGUAGAGAAGAGGAAAGUGGAAUUCCAAGUGUAGCGGUGAAAUGCGUAGAGAUGUGGAGGAACACCAGUGGCGAAGGCGACUUUCUGGUCUGUAACUGACGCUGAGGCGCGAAAGCGUGGGGAGCAAACAGG
rnacentral:rRNA from 1 species